rnacentral:rRNA from 1 species
CGGACGGGUGAGUAACGCGUGAGGAACCUGCCUCAAAGAGGGGGACAACAGUUGGAAACGACUGCUAAUACCGCAUAAGCCCACGGCUCGGCAUCGAGCAGGGGGAAAAGGAGCAAUCCGCUUUGAGAUGGCCUCGCGUCCGAUUAGCUAGUUGGUGAGGUAAUGGCCCACCAAGGCGACGAUCGGUAGCCGGACUGAGAGGUUGAACGGCCACAUUGGGACAGAGACACGGCCCAA